rnacentral:rRNA from 1 species
AAAUAAUGGUACUUGAUCUCAUAGGUCACACACAUCAACAUAUGGAGGAAAAAUCUUUUCUUAGUAUUUAACGAUGAUAUGUAAAUAGUCCCACACAUCGUAGUCUAGAUGUGGAACGUCUUUUGUUGAGUUCCUCAUUACGAUUUUAUAAACAGUGAAGACCAAGUCAGGUCCCCAUUUAAUUUAUACAUUUCAAGCAGCACGUUAAAUCUGACAAUUAACCUAAUAUACGUACUACUAUAGAGAAGAUAAAAAAACCAGUUUAUGGAACUCGGCUCCUAUAAUAAUACUGUCCGAAUCGUAAUCACGUCACGCUUUCAUUGAUAAGAAUCUAAGAGUACGAUUUUUAUUAUAUAAAACUAAAAAAAGAUACCAACUCUUCUAUAUAUACCAGUUACGUUCUAACUCAAAUAAAUAAACACCUACGACCGUCGCGUGUACACCUACAAGUCGUCCCAUAGCUGUAGACGCUAAAGUGGUAGAGACGUGGUAGGGCUCCAAAACGCAGACGAAGAGGAAGAGCCGUCUUCUACCAUCAGCCAGUUUAUAGACAUCGGGGAUACACACCAACAAGUCGUCCCAUAGCGGUUGUUGCUAAAGGGGUAGAGACGUAGUAGAGCUCUAAUAUACCACCUUUCUCCUCCGUAUCUCCCCCCACCUCACCCUUCUUCUCUCCCACUCUCUCCUCCUUCACCUCUGGGACGGCCGCAUAACCACUUUUUGGUGGAGGGACUGAAAGAUGUGGUACCCAAUAGUAGAUUUUAACUAAAAAUCUCCUUAGUUCUGUACAAGAAAAAAGGAAAGGUGUCAAAGAGUAGAUUUUACCUAAAAAUCUCCUUAAUCCUAGACUAAGGACCUGGUAAACGACACAUGACUUACACAUACAUGGUUACGU